AACGCGAAGAACCUUACCUGCCCUUGACAUCUGUGGAAUUCUGCAGAGAUGCAGGAGUGCCGCAAGGAACCACAAGACAGGUGCUGCAUGGCUGUCGUCAGCUCGUGUUGUGAGAUGUUGGGUUAAGUCCCGUAACGAGCGCAACCCCUGUUCCCAGUUACCAGCGCGUAGAGGCGGGGACUCUGGGGAGACUGCCGGUGAAGAACCGGAGGAAGGCGGGGACGACGUCAAGUCAUCAUGGCCUUUAUGGGCAGGGCUACACACGUGCUACAAUGGGGCGUACAGAGGGUAGCGAACCCGCGAGGGGGAGCCAAUCCCGGAAAGCGCCUCUCAGUCCGGACUGGAGUCUGCAACCCGACUCCACGAAGUCGGAAUCGCUAGUAAUCGCGGAUCAGAAUGCCGCGGUGAAUACGUUCCCGGGCCUUGUACACACCGCGUGUCU
rnacentral:rRNA from 1 species